rnacentral:misc_RNA from 1 species
GAUGAAGAACGCAGCGAAAUGCGAUACGUAAUGUGAAUUGCAGAAUUCAGUGAAUCAUCGAAUCUUUGAACGCAUAUUGCGCUCUCUGGUAUUCCGGAGAGCAUGCUUGUUUGAGUAUCAGUAAACACCUCAACUUCCAUAUCUUUUUUGAAAUGGGAGUUGGACUUGAGUGAUCCCAACGCUUUUCCUCACCGAAAAGUGGCGGGUUACUUGAAAUGCAGGUGCAGCUGGACUUUUCUUUGAGCUAUAAGCAUAUCUAUUUAGUCUGCCUAAAAAACAGAUUAUUACCUUUGCUGCAGCUAACAUAAAGGAGAUUAGUUCUUGUGCUGACUGAUGCAGGAUUCACAAAGACAGGCUUCGGCCGACUUUGUAAACUCGAUCUCAAAUCAAGUAAGACUACCCGCUGAACUUAAGCAUAUCAAUAAGCGGAGGA